rnacentral:rRNA from 1 species
AACGUAGGAGACAAACGUUAUCCGGAGUUACUGGGCGUAAAGGGCGUGUAGGCGGACUGUUAAGUCUGGCGUGAAAGCUCCCGGCUAAACCGGGAGAGGUCGUUGGAUACUGGCAGACUAGAGGGUGGUAGAGGCGUGUGGAAUUCCGGGUGUAGUGGUGAAAUGCGUAGAGAUCCGGAGGAACACCUGCGGCGAAGGCGGGUUGCUGGGCUGACACUGACGCUGAUGCGCGAAAGCCAGGGGAGCGAACGGG